UACGUAGGGACCAAGCGUUGUUCGGAUUUACUGGGCGUAAAGGGCGCGUAGGCGGCAAUUCAAGUCAUCUGUGAAAUCUCCGAGCUUAACUCGGAACGGUCAGAUGAUACUGCUUUGCUAGAGUGCAGAAGGGGCAAUCGGAAUUCCUGGUGUAGCGGUGAAAUGCGCAGAUAUCAGGAGGAACACCGAUGGCGAAGGCAGGUCUCUGGGCCACUACUGACGCUGAGAAGCGAAAGCAUGGGGAGCGAACAGG
rnacentral:rRNA from 1 species